GAGGGAUGUAGCACAGCUUGGUAUAGCUUUUGUUUUGGGUACAAAAUGUCAGGGGUUCAAAUCCUGUCAUCCCAAAAUAUUACUUAUCCUAUGAACAGUAACAAUAUAUCACAAUAUAUAUUGUGAUAUAUUGAUAUAGUAUAUGCAUGCAAGAUGUAUUGGGGUCUCAUAAAAUUAUUUAUGAGAAUAAAGCGCUCUUAGUUCAGUUUGGUAGAACGUGGGUCUCCAGAACUCGAUGUCGUAAGUUCAAAUCGUAUAGAGCGUGAUUCAAUUCUUGUUAGAUCCAGACAUAAUGACACUGCGAAAUAUUUGAACCACAGUCUAAAGUCUGAAUUUGACCUCUGGGAUUAGGAUUAAAACAAAGAAAUAGUAGGUCAAUAAACAAAAGAGGUGUUAAUUGAUCAAAGGUCUAACUGAUCACCACGUCGGUAUUGUAAAUAUGCAGUUACGAAUAAUC